rnacentral:rRNA from 1 species
UACGUAGGAGGCGAGCGUUGUCCGGAAUCACUGGGCGUAAAGCGCGUGUAGGCGGCCUGCCAAGUCUGCUGUGAAAGCGCCUGGCUUAACCGGGCGAGGUUGGUGGAAACUGGCGGGCUGGAGGACGGUAGAGGGGGGUGGAAUUCCCGGUGUAGUGGUGAAAUGCGUAGAGAUCGGGAGGAACACCAGUGGCGAAGGCGGCCCCCUGGGCCGUUCCUGACGCUGAGACGCGAAGGCGCGGGGAGCGAACGGG